GGACAAGCUGGGGUGCUUGGUGAUGAGGUGCUUCUGCCUCCUGUGAAACUACUGUGUUCCAUUUCCCUCCUUCAGCACAGUUCCGGUCACAUGAUCGGCUCUCAGUGCAAAAUGAUGUACCAGUGCAUGAUAGGAACCACAUGAUUGCUGAGAUUAUGUCCAGUGCUAAGACUCUGUGAUUCUUUUGUUUUUAGACAAUUUGGCCAGGAAGUGACCGGCAAUGGAAAGAGGGAAAUAAUCAGCACAUCCGCAUGUGUGCCCAUCUCAGAGACACAAACUGUGAAUAACAACUCACUUGGCUUCAUAACCAAGACCUACUCUGAGGAAUUGCAUCUCUUCCUUGGAGACCUUGAUUGGCCUGCUAGGUUAAAGGCAUUUCACUAAAUUCUUGGAGGAGUCUGAGAGAACUUGGGGGCGCUUGAGGAACCCAAAGGUGUGAAGUAAAAGCUGGAAACCAAGAUUGCUGGGAAAGUUCAGAGAAAGUAGAGAUACUUCGUUUGAUGGAGAUCACAUGCAAGGGAGUCUACUCCAAGAUCAAAGGCAACCUAUAGCAAUUUAUGAGAAAUGAAGGAAGUGGGAGAGAUGCUAAGUUACUUUAAGGGAUGUUCUGAAAUCAUGAAUCUAGCUGGAAUAGCUGGUGUUGGCUGUGUCCAGAAGAGCUGGGACAAG
rnacentral:lncRNA from 1 species